rnacentral:snoRNA from 1 species
UUGGACCUGAAUCAAGGCUGGUAGCUUGCUGUAGCUGCUGGUUUCAAGCAGGAGCCAAGAGAAACUACUUCCUAUGGUCUGUUGGAUGUGCCAGUGACCACCGGGCUCAUCCAAUUCAGUUGGAAGGUACAGUU